ensembl:lncRNA
UUUUUUUUUUUUUUUUGAAAUGGUGACCAAUUCUUGGUAAAGUUCCGAACAAAACUAACCACAAUAUUCUCUUCAUGUAUACGGUAGCUGCAUUCCUGCAAAAUUCAGAGUAUUACGAUUGUGCAAAAUACUUUGUGUUUAUUUGCAAAAUGGAGAGAAGCUUAAGUUCAGAUGAUUAUAAAUAGACUUUUUACCUACAUAACUGUCCAGCAGGAUACUCAAGGUGCAAAUGUCCCAUGCACUGUAGACAGAUAUUUAUCUCCUAUGUGCUCUCUUGCCAUAUAAUGCCUGUUCAGACGUUGUAACGAUCUGAAAAUGUCCUACCCAUAAAAAACUCUCCUAGGAGGUGGGUAAUCCUAUUAUAUUCUAUUUCCAUGGAGACUUUUUAGAACAACAUGUUUAAUUUCAAACUACAACUUUCAUUAUAACAAAAUAUUUGCAACCCAUGAUAAAGUAUUCCAUAUUCUUCCAAAAAUUCCUUUGGUAUUACUGUCUGCUGCAAUGAAGAUAUCACAAGUGUUCCCAUGCAUCCCUAAAUAUGUAUGGAUAGAUUCUGGGUUUUGAAUUUGCUGAAAUAGCCUUGAAAUAGAGACAUUAAUUACAUGCUUAGUUGGAGACAAUGUAAUAAGGUUCCUUUGCCAAAGUAAUUGGAACCCUACAGCUAUGCUCUCCCGGUUAUUAUACAGGAGCAACAAGUUUUAAGGCAUAUAAAAACACCAGAGGCAGGUUGAAUUGUAACAGCAACUCAAAGUUAGUUGAAAAAAAUUCUAAAUUAAGACUGAAAAAACAUGACCCAUCAUCACUGAAAUGCUCUGUUUCAUGACUUUGUGAUUACCAGAAUAUAGUUACUUUAAGUGCCAGACUUUCUUAAAGCUCCACUUCAUCCAAUAGCUGAUUUACCUGUAAAACACCUAUGAAAAUAUUGAUUCCAAAAUGCCGAUACAAGAGGAUGUCUCUACUAUUGGCUUUAUUGUGCUUUGAAGGGCAAAAGAAUGGUAUGGAAAGAUCUCACCAAAGCAGAAAAAACAAGAAGCUUGAAUUUAAAACCAUGUUGGGAAGGUUCAUGAAUGGUGAUGUCAAGAAAUAAAUGGGCAUGGUAAAAGAGACAGACUGUGAGACACUGAAAAAAGAAGAAAACAAACAAAUAUUUAAAUAUUUUCGGAAUAUAUUAUGAGACAAUGACUUUCUCCAUAAUUACAGACUCACAAAUACAUUUAACAAUUUGAUUUGCACCAUGGCUAUGAAAUGAAGCUCAAAUCAAGAUUUUUAUACUCAUGGCAUCCAAAGAAGUUUACUUUGUGGGAGUCUCAAUACAUUUUCUUUCCAUGAAAAUAUAGUGGCCGGCUGCUAUGGUUUGACUGUGUCCCCCAAAGUUCAUGUGUUAAAAACAUAAUCUCCAAUGCAAUAGUGCAGCACCUUAGGAGUUGAUUAGGUCAUAGAGGCUCUGCCCUAACAUGGAUUAAUGCUGUUAUCAGAGAAGUGGCACCCUCAUGAAGGAUGAGUUUGGCCCCUUCCAUCUCUCCUGUGGGCUCUCUUGGUAUGUGAUGCCUUCCAACAUAUUAUGACAGAGAAUGAAAGCCCUCACUAGACAUGGUCCUUCAAUCUUGGGCUUCACAGUUUUGAAAACUGUGAAACAAUAAAUUUCUGUUCUUUAUACAUCACCCAGUCUCAAGUAUUCUGUGACAGCAGCACGAAACAGGCUUAGACAUUUUCUUUUGCUGUACAUUAGUCCUUUGAAAACUAGUGUUUUCCAAAUAGUUGAAUUUAUAAAAGUUAUCCACCAACCAAGCAUAGGCAGGAGUCAUUUGAUGACAUCCUGAACUAGAGAUAAAGAUGUAAUGUACCUUUCUGGAAGUCAAUAUUUUUAAUGUUUUUCCAAGUUCCAUGUGUGUGCUUGGGGUGAGGGGAGGGCAUUUGGUAAGAGAAAAGGGAGUUAGAACACUUCAAAAUUUGAUGUCAAGGGAAUUUACAUAUCCUGAUUUCUGGAUACCAGUCUAGCUGAUGUUCACAUUUUGUCAUUCAGUGUGUGUAUGUGUGUGCGCAUAUGCACACACAUGUGUGGAUAUGCAUGUGUGAGUACAUAGACAUACAUUACAGCACACUUUGGCCUCCUUUCUAUUGCUCUCAUAUGCAAAGCUGCUAUCUCAGGCAUUUAGCUCAUUCUGUGGCUGGCUCUUUCUCAGCCUUCAGAUCUCACCUCAAAUGCUGUCUCUCCUGAUAGGCCCUCGCUGCUUCUCUAUGGAAGAAGCCAUUCUCAUCCACUUUCCAAGACCACAUCCUGUUUAUUUUCUUCAGAGCACUUACAAGGCUGCAAUGAUCUUGUUUAUUGACUUGACUGUUUAUUGAUGAUUUCUCCCCAUGU